rnacentral:rRNA from 1 species
AUAAGGUUAAGUGAAUAAGGGCGCACGGUGGAUGCCUUGGCACUAGGAGCCGAUGAAGGACGGGACUAACACCGAUAUGCUUUGGGGAGCUGUACGUAAGCUAUGAUCCAGAGAUUUCCGAAUGGGGGAACCCAGCAUCUUUUAUAGGAUGUUACGUUUGCGUGAAUACAUAGCGCAUUCGAGGUAGACGCAGAGAACUGAAACAUCUAAGUACCUGCAGGAAGAGAAAGAAAAUUCGAUUCCCUGAGUAGCGGCGAGCGAAACGGGAAAAGCCCAAACCAAUGAGCUUGCUCAUUGGGGUUGUAGGACUCCAAUAUGGUAGUUCUUUCAGAUAGUCGAAUGACUUGGAAAAGUCAGUCAAAGAGGGUAAAAACCCCGUAGAUGAAAUUUGGAAGGCACCUAGGAGGAUCCUGAGUACGGCGGAACACGAGGAAUUCCGUCGGAAUCCGGGAGGACCAUCUCCCAAGGCUAAAUACUCCCUAGUGACCGAUAGUGAACCAGUACCGUGAGGGAAAGGUGAAAAGCACCCCGGAAGGGGAGUGAAAUAGAACCUGAAACCGUGUGCCUACAACAAGUCAAAGCCCGUUAAUGGGUGAUGGCGUGCCUUUUGUAGAAUGAACCGGCGAGUUACGAUUGCAUGCGAGGUUAAGUUGAAGAGACGGAGCCGCAGCGAAAGCGAGUCUGAAUAGGGCGUUUGAGUAUGUAGUCGUAGACCCGAAACCAUGUGAUCUACCCAUGUCCAGGUUGAAGGUGCGGUAAAACGCACUGGAGGACCGAACCCACGUACGUUGAAAAGUGCGGGGAUGAGGUGUGGGUAGCGGAGAAAUUCCAAACGAACUUGGAGAUAGCUGGUUCUCUCCGAAAUAGCUUUAGGGCUAGCCUCGGAAUUGAGAAUGAUGGAGGUAGAGCACUGUUUGGACUAGGGGCCCAUCUCGGGUUACCGAAUUCAGAUAAACUCCGAAUGCCAUUCAUUCAUAUCCGGGAGUCAGACUGUGAGUGAUAAGAUCCAUAGUCGAAAGGGAAACAGCCCAGACCACCAGCUAAGGUCCCAAAAUAUAUGUUAAGUGGAAAAGGAUGUGGGGUUGCACAGACAACUAGGAUGUUGGCUUAGAAGCAGCCACCAUUUAAAGAGUGCGUAAUAGCUCACUAGUCGAGUGACCCUGCGCCGAAAAUGUACCGGGGCUAAACAUAUUACCGAAGCUGUGGAGUACACCUUUAGGUGUAUUGGUAGGAGAGCGUUCUAAGGGCGUUGAAGGUAGAUCGUGAGGACUGCUGGAGCGCUUAGAAGUGAGAAUGCCGGUAUGAGUAGCGAAAGACAGGUGAGAAUCCUGUCCACCGAAUGACUAAGGUUUCCUGGGGAAGGCUCGUCCGCCCAGGGUUAGUCGGGACCUAAGCCGAGGCCGACAGGCGUAGGCGAUGGACAACAGGUUGAUAUUCCUGUACUCGUUGUUUUUGUUUGAGCAAUGGAGGGACGCAGGAGGCUAAGGAAUGCAGACGAUUGGAAAUGUCUGUCUAAGCAGUAAGUCUUGAUAGGAGUCAAAUGCUUCUGUCUGU